rnacentral:rRNA from 1 species
AUUGAACGCUGGCGGCAGGCUUAACACAUGCAAGUCGAACGAGUGGCGGACGGGUGAGUAAUGCUUGGGCAUCUAGCUUAUGGAGGGGGAUAACUACGGGAAACUGUAGCUAAUACCGCGUACCAUAGGAUGAGCCCAAGUGGGAUUAGGUAGUUGGUGAGGUAAAGGCUCACCAAGCCGACGAUCUCUCGCUGGUCUGAUAUGAUGACCAGCCAAACUGGGCCUUAGACACGGCUCAGACUCCUACGUGAGGCAGCAGUGGGGAAUAGUGCGCAAUGGGGGCAACCUGACGCAGCCAUGCCGCGUGAAUGAAGAAGGCCUGCGGGUUGUAAAGUUCUUUCGGUAGCGAGGCGUUAACUACAGAAGAAGCACCGGCUAACUCCGUGCCAGCAGCCGCGGUAAUUC